UCUCUCUCUCUUUCCCUCUCGAUCUCUCCCUCUCCUACACACAGACCCAAAACCCUCUCUCCCACUCCACCCGAUCGCCCUCUCCCACUUCGUCUCCUUCGAGCACUUCUAGGGUUUUUCUCUUCUCCACAUUUUUCUAGGGUUUCCGAACUCAUCCGCAUCAUCUCGACCUCGCACAAGAUCGCCGCAUUUGGAGGGAUUGUUCGUCGACGUGAUCCCUCUUGACCUUGCACACGAUCGCCGCAUUUGAAGGGAUCGUUCGUCAACCUUCGUGAUCCCUCUUUAUCACUGCAUUUUUGGAUCCUGAGUCUUCAGGCACUUGCUAUACGUCAGCAUCAUCAAAUACUUCCCGUGAUACUUGAUCAUUUUUUUUGUAUUUGGACCUACUAUGUAGCAUCAUUUUAUGUUUUGAGCUACUGUGUCAUUUCUUAAAAACUAUUUUUGGAUAUUAUAGUUUUUUAUCAUUUUAUUGAUGUUGAGGAUGUGAGAAACAAUUAGUAUUUUGGUUUCCUUCGAUACUCUUGGCUUAUAUAUGAAUGAAACAACUUUUUUGCUAUGAAUGUGUCAUUUUUUUAUUGUAUCUUUCAUACAACUAUUUCUAGCUAAUAUACAUAUUAAAAAGUCCAUAUAUUUCGAUCAAUAGUAGCUUUAUAAAAAGUCAUGGUAUAUGCAUAUUAAUAGUUUUCAAAAAGCCACAACAUAAUUUUAUUAAUAGUAUCGAAAAGUCGCAAAAACUAUAGCAUUGUGGCACACCAAAUGCUGCUAUAUUAAUUAAAGGCAGCUUUUCAUUUGCCGUAGCUCUUAAAAAUUAUAAAAAUUGCAAUAUUAUGGUGUAAUACAUUGAACUUAUGCAAAUUGCGAAGUUCGAGUGUGAGGAAGGAUAUGUGGAUCUAUCCUAUAUGUUCAAAAAGGCUUGGGCAAGUUUUUGGACAAGUUAGAGAGUAAUUGGAUGGCUAAAAGCAAGAAAGUACAUUGAUGUGGCCUUUCUCUCGAAUUUUGCAUUGUGUACCGGUACAGGCAUCAGCAAGCAGCAGCAGCAGCAGCUGCGUGGCAGCAGGGCUUUUUGGUCUUUUGGGCAUUUGAUCUUAUCUUCAUGACUCCAGCUCGACCCCUGGUGUUCAGUGGAAGUUGCUAGAGGCCUGAGAUGCAGCUUUGCACCUUUCCCUCUUUCUCUCUCUAGGGUUUCUCUCUCUUCGAUUGGAGAUCGCCGAAUCGAGCUUAUUUCUUGCCGCGUUCCUCGCUCGCUGGUUUGGAAACGCAGGGGAGGACUUUGGGUCGUGGGGAGAAGUAUCUUUACUGAGUUUUCUAUGAGGUUCUCACCAGGGAAAGCUGACUCUCAGCUUUGAAGAGGGGCUGUUUUCAGUAGUAAAGAGGAGUUAUUUUGGCUAUGAAUUAUCAGUGACAAGUUGCUUUAAGGCUGGACUAAGCAGGUUUGCGAACUACUUUGAGCUGAACCUGUGCUCUUAGAAGUUGGUUUGGAGGAUAUUUUAACCUGGGCGAGACUACGAUCGAGCCUUGGAUUGCGUUCGGCUGAGUUGUGAGGACUCUUAGAGGUUACAUUUGAGGGUUGAAGUCUAGUAGAGCUGAAUUUCGGGACGUCGUGGAACUGAUUUGAGCCUAGUAAUAGAGCCAUCUACAGGAGAGGCUAGAGAUCGUGGCAAAGGAGUCGCGUCUAGCUAGA